GCACUUUGAUGUCUUAAAUUAGGUAUGUUCUUUGCUCGAUUUUUGAUAAUUUUUAUGUUUUUGAAAUCGUUGCUUCGUAUACUAGCUAGCCCAUGCUUUAAUUUUCGGAUUUGAUUAUGAAUUUGUGAUUUGCCAUUGUUGAUAGCUUGAUGUUUUUGUUGUUUGAUGAUGAAAAAUAAAUAUUUGUUAUUAGAUUAUUAUAGUUUAUUAAGUGAUUUUUGAUAAAAAUGCUUAUUAAGGACUAAAUUGUGAAAUUUAUAAAUUGAGGGAUCAAAAUGUGAAAUAAAUGAAAUUAAUGGGCUGCUAGAGACUUAAGGAAAAUUUGGCCUAACAUGAGCAUGUUGAAAUUUUGUGUAUUUUGAGUUGUUUUGAAAUAGGGACUAAAAUUUAGAAAAUGUGAAAUGUUAGGGGCUAAAGUGAAAAAUACCCAUUUAUGUGUUUUUGGGUGAAAUUGAAUGAAUAUGUAAUUAAAUAAGUUAAAUUUAAAUUGAUUUAGAUCAAGAAAGGAAGAAAUUAGAUUUGGAUCGGGGGAAGUCGAAAGUUAUUGAAUAGUCGUUCCGAUCCGUUCGUUUCCGUACGAGGUAAGUUCAUAAGUAAUUAAAUGUUUUUAAAUUCAAAUGUAUAUAUAUUAUAUGUAUCCGAAUUUAAUUGUAUGUAUUAAAAUAUAUAUUUCCGAAUUGAUUUGAGCAUUGGUUGGCUAGUUUUGUGCAUGAAUUGAUUUAAUUACGAAGUCGUAAGCCCCGAACGAAUCUUAGGAAAUGUAUUGAAUACUGAUGUCAUGACAUAAGGCUUUCGAGAUGUGAUUUCGUGUAAGACCAUGUCUGAGAAAUUGGCAUCGAAGUGAGAAAACGUGUAAGACCAUGUCUGGGACAUUGGCAUCGUAUAUGAUUCAUAUAAGACCCUGUCUGGGACAGUGGCAUUGAUAUGCGUUAACAUGUAAGACCAUAUUCGGGAUAUGACAUUGUAUGAGCUUUAUAUGAUUUCCGUGUAUCCCUAACAAUUCCGAACGGUUCAUCGGGCAAUGUCAAAUCGUGACCGAAGGUGAAUUUGAUCUAAAUAAUUCAGGUACGUAUGAGGAUUAUAUGUUCAUUGAAAAAUAAGGUAAGUAGAGUUAAUUGAUGUGGUAAUAUGGAUUAUAUGAGAAAAGUGAUUGUAUAUGUGUAUAAGAUUAACUAAAUUUGGCCUAUUCGAAUUGUGUUAUAUGUGUUCUUGUGAUGAAUUAUUUGCUUAUGGCUUACUAAGCUUUCAAAGCUUAUUUUGUGCAUUCUUUCUCUAUUUUAUAGAUAUAUAAAGCUAGCUUUGAGCUCGAGAAUCAUCAAGGAUCAUCAUCACACUAUUGACCAUUAUUCGGUACUUUUGAAGUUUGUAACUAAGACAUAUGGCAUGUAUAGGCUAGUUUUGUUAUGGUUAGUUUUGAAUUGUUUAUAAAUAGCCAUGCGAGGAUGGCUUGAUAAUGAUGUUCAAUAUGAUGUAUUUUUGGUCAUGAUAUAAGCUCAUUUUGG
rnacentral:lncRNA from 1 species